CAGCAGCAGCCGCGGGAAUACAGAGGGUGCGAGCGUUAAUCGGAUUUACUGGGCGUAAAGCGUGCGUAGGCGGCUUCUUAAGUAGGAUGUGAAAUCCCUGAGCUUAACUUAGGAAUUGCAUUCGAUACUGGGAAGCUAGAGUAUGGGAGAGGAUGGUAGAAUUCCAGGUGUAGCGGUGAAAUGCGUAGAGAUCUGGAGGAAUACCGAUGGCGAAGGCAGCCAUCUGGCCUAAUACUGACGCUGAGGUACGAAAGCAUGGGGAGCAAACAGGAUUAGAUACCCCUGUAGUCCCUGUCUCUUAUAC
rnacentral:rRNA from 1 species